CCUACGGACCGCAGCAGUGGGGAAUAUUGGACAAUGGGCGAAAGCCUGAUCCAGCCAUGCCGCGUGUGUGAAGAAGGCCUUCGGGUUGUAAAGCACUUUCAGUGGGGAAGAAAGCCUUGGGGCUAAUACCCUCGAGGAAGGACAUCACCCACAGAAGAAGCACCGGCUAACUCCGUGCCAGCAGCCGCGGUAAUACGGAGGGUGCGAGCGUUAAUCGGAAUUACUGGGCGUAAAGCGCGCGUAGGCGGUCUGAUAAGCCGGUUGUGAAAGCCCCGGGCUCAACCUGGGAACGGCAUCCGGAACUGUCAGGCUAGAGUGCAGGAGAGGAAGGUAGAAUUCCCGGUGUAGCGGUGAAAUGCGUAGAGAUCGGGAGGAAUACCAGUGGCGAAGGCGGCCUUCUGGACUGACACUGACGCUGAGGUGCGAAAGCGUGGGUAGCAAACAGGAUUAGAUACCCUUGUAGGUC
rnacentral:rRNA from 1 species